UAAGGAAUAUUGCUCAAUGGGAGAAAUCCUGAAGCAGCAACGCCGCGUGGAGGAUGAAGGGUUUUUAAACUUGUAAACUCCUGUAAAGAAGGAAAAAAUUCCCAUAGAUGGGAAAUGAUGGUACUUCUGGAGUAAGCCCCGGCUAACUACGUGCCAGCAGCCGCGGUAAUACGUAGGGGGCAAGCGUUGUCCGGAUUUACUGGGUGUAAAGGGUGCUCAGGCGGAUUUGUAAGUCAGAGGUGAAAUCUCACACUUAACUGUGAAACUGCCUUUGAUACUGCAAGCCUAGAGUAUGGAAGAGAGUGAUGGAAUAUCUGGUGUGCAAGUGAAAAUGCCGUAGAUAUCAGAUAGAACACCAAUGGCGAAGGCAGUCACUUGGUCCAUAACUGACGCUAAAGCACGAAAGCGUGGGUAGCAAACAGGAUUAGAUACCCUGGUAGUCCACGCCCUAAACGAUGAAUACUAGAUGUUGGCUUCGCAUGAAGUCAGUAUCUGAGCUAACGCAUUAAGUAUUCCACCUGGGAAGUACGAUCGCAAGGUUGAAAC
rnacentral:rRNA from 1 species